rnacentral:lncRNA from 1 species
GGGAAGGGUGGGUGUCCAGGGCCUCUAGAAGCUACAGUGAAGCCUUCCUGCUUGUCUCGCAGACAUCCUCCUUUUCUGACAUUAAAGCUACGAACCACCAAGCUGACCCCCUCUCUCCUUGGACUGAAGCACAGGGUAUCUCAGGGGCCAGGGAUAAGCGGGAAGGGACCGGAGGGAGCCACAAGUCUGCACCCAGGCGGAGAGGAGGCGGGCAGAAGCCGCUCCGCAGGCGCAGGCGAGUGGGUGGGAAGGAGGGAGGGAGAGAGGGAGGAAGGAGGUGAGGCCGGGAAGAUGCCACUGCCGGGGGCGGGGCGGGGCCGGGGAUCCGGGAGAGGGACUGCAGCGGUGCUUGGUGGGGGCGGGGGCUGCAAUGUCACUCAUUUGGGGGUCAGGUGUGUAAGUCCCAAGCUCGGGGCGCCACUUGCCUACAUCUUCCCAGUACCACCCAGGGAUCGGGGCGGAGGCGGAGGGCAGGGGACUGCAGAACCGUCCCCAGAGCGGGACGCGAACCGGCAGAGUUGGGAGAAGGUAAACAAGGGCCACGCCCCCUGCCGUCGCCCCGCGGGCGCGCACCCGCCGCUCCGGCGGCCGCCGGUACAUUUCCACUCCCAGCAGCGUUUCUCCCCCGCUGGACUCCCGCGCAGCCCUGGACCGGGGGGCUGCCCCCGACCCCAGCCCGCGCCCCCCGCGCUGGAGCUGUGAACCCUCCGUACUCACCUGGAAAGGGUAUCCCCCGCCCCUCCAAAAAACUGCUUAAUUUGUGCAGAGCCUCCGCGCCCGGGAGCCGAGCAUGCUGCCCCCACGCGCAUAGCCCGCGUGCACCCAGCCGGGAGAGGGGGCGACAGGGCGGAGGCGGUGGCCCCCGGAAGGUGUCUGGGACCGGACCGGCUGCACGUGAGCCCAGCGCGGGGUCAUGUGCACCGGCUCGACCCGGUUCGGCGCCCGGACGUGCUGCGUAUCAACAAAAUGAAACUCGGGGAGACAGGAGGGCAGAUAGCCCCGGGUCCUCCGAACCCACGUCCCCGACCGGGCGACCUCCUCUCCGCACAGGUCUCCAGCCGCAGCCCAUCCGCCCAGCCAGAGCCCGCGGGGCAAGUUGCAGCCCAGGCGCGCCCCCGCCCGCCCGCGCCCCCUCCCCGGCCCAGGGGCGCUUUGCCGCAGUCAUUAAUAAAGAAGGUCGCCAAGCUCACCCUUCCAAAAGUUGUUGUUGCAUGCGCCCCUCUCAGCCUCCCC